rnacentral:rRNA from 1 species
GACGAACGCUGGCGGCGUGCCUAAUACAUGCAAGUAGAACGGAGUUGCGAACAGGUGCGUAACGCGUAGGUAAAUGCCUCAUAGCGGGGGAUAAACAUUGGAAAAGCUAGCUAAAACCGCAUACUGUGAGAUGGACCUGCGUUGUAUUGGCUAGGUGGAUAGGUAAAGGAUCACCAAGGCGACGAUACCUAGCCGAACUGGGAGGGGUGUCGGCCAACAUGGGAAUUAGACACGGCCCAGACUCCUAAGGGAUGCAACCGUUGGGCAAUUUCGGCAAUGGACCGAAGUCUUACCGAGCAACGCCGCGUGAGUGAAGAAGGUUUUCGGAUCGUAAAGCUCUGUGCUUAGAGAAGCGUUAACUAACCAGAAAGGGACGGCUAACUACGUGCCAGCAGCCGCGGUAAUUC